GCUUCGGUGGCCUAGUGAUUAGAGCAUCCGCCUCAGAUGCGGGAGAUCAUUGGUUCGAUGCCUGGUUGAGUCA